rnacentral:rRNA from 1 species
UACGUAGGGGGCAAGCGUUAUCCGGAUUUACUGGGUGUAAAGGGAGCGUAGACGGAUGGACAAGUCUGAUGUGAAAGGCUGGGGCUCAACCCCGGGACUGCAUUGGAAACUGCCCGUCUUGAGUGCUGGAGAGGUAAGCGGAAUUCCUAGUGUAGCGGUGAAAUGCGUAGAUAUUAGGAGGAACACCAGUGGCGAAGGCGGCUUACUGGACGGUAACUGACGUUGAGGCUCGAAAGCGUGGGGAGCAAACAGG